GGGGUCGUUAUGGAUUCGACGGAGAUGGUUCGAGUUUGAACUGCACUUCGGUUGGCGGUACGAUACACCGUCCAGUUUAAAUUAUAACUGCUAAAAAUAAUAACAAUUCUUACGCCUUAGCUGCCUAAACAGCAGUCGACGUAGAUCCAGCUAAUCUUUCCCACGGGUUAUCCCUGGGUCCUACCUAUUAGUGGGAUACGCUAAUGACCCUCCACCUGAGGUUCAUUAGAAGAGUUUAAUCAGGCUAGCUUUUCAGGUUAGCCGUGGUUGGUGGCGCACUGAAAAGUGAACUUCAAGUUAUUAACCUAUGAGUGUAGACGUUCAAGGGGCGACAUUUUCGGACGCGGGUUCAAAUCCCGCCGACUCCAUUU
rnacentral:tmRNA from 1 species